rnacentral:rRNA from 1 species
UACGUAGGGGGCAAGCGUUGUUCGGAAUCACUGGGCGUAAAGCGCACGCAGGCGGAUCGAUAAGUCGGGGGUGAAAGCCCGGGGCUCAACCUCGGAAUUGCCUUCGAUACUGUCGGUCUCGAGUCCGGGAGAGGUGAGUGGAAUUCCUAGUGUAGAGGUGAAAUUCGUAGAUAUUAGGAAGAACACCAGUGGCGAAGGCGGCUCACGGGCCCGGUAUUGACGCUCAGGUGCGAAAGCGUGGGGAGCAAACAGG